rnacentral:lncRNA from 1 species
GGCGGGCAUGACCUUCUUUCUGAGGUCGGGCUUCCCCUUCUUGACGGUGGCCAUGACCAUGUCGCCGACGCAAGCGGACGGGAGGCGGUUGAGGCGCCCCUUGAUGCCCUUGACGGAGAUGAUGUAGAGGUUCUUGGCGCCCGUGUUGUCGGCGCAGUUCACCGUCGCCGCCACUGGCAGACCCAGCGACAUGCGGAACUUGUUCCCCGCCGUGCCUCCCCUCCCUGGAUCACAUCACGAAACAACGCAAGCACUAGAUUAGAACGCGAUGCAAAACAAGAUUGACAAUCGACGGGGAAAAGAGGAAAUCGAGCCGAGUUGGGAGGAGGAAGACGGG